rnacentral:rRNA from 1 species
UACCUGCAGCUCGAGUGGUAACCGCUAUUAUUGGGCCUAAAGCGUCCGUAGCCGGUUUGGUAAAUAUCUGGGUAAAUCGUGAGGCUUAACUUCACGAAUUUCGGAUAGACUGCCAGACUUGGGAUCGGGGGAGGUCAGAGGUACUCCAGGGGUAGCGGUGGAAUGUUGUAAUUCUUGGAGGACCACCGGUAGCGAAGGCGUCUGACUAGAACGAGUCCGACGGUGAGGGACGAAGCCCUGGGGGCGCAAACCGGAUUAGAUACCCGGGUAGUCCAGGGUGUAAACGAUGUGGGCUUUGUAUUGGAGGUCCCACGUGGGCGUCCAGUGCAGAAGAGAAGUUGUUAAGCCCACCGCCUGGGAAGUACGGUCGCAAGGCUGAAACUUAAAGGAAUUGGCGGGGGAGCACAGCAACGGGAGGAGCGUGCGGUUU